rnacentral:rRNA from 1 species
GAAUAUUGGACAAUGGGGGGAACCCUGAUCCAGCCAUGCCGCGUGUGUGAAGAAGGCCUUUUGGUUGUAAAGCACUUUAAGCGAGGAGGAGGCUACUCUAGUUAAUACCUAGGGAUAGUGGACGUUACUCGCAGAAUACGCACCGGCUAACUCUGUGCCAGCAGCCGCGGUAAUACAGAGGGUGCAAGCGUUAAUCGGAUUUACUGGGCUGAAAGGGCGCGUAGGUGGGCAAAUAAGUCAAAUGUGAAAUCCCCGAGGUUAACUUGGGAAUUGCAUUCGAUACUGGUUGGCUAGAGUAUGGGAGAGGAUGGUAGGAUUCCAGGUGUAGCGGUGAAAUGCGUAGAGAUCUGGAGGAAUACCGAUGGCGAAGGCAGCCAUCUGGCCUAAUACUGACACUGAGGUGCGAAAGCAUGGGGAGCAAACAG